UACGAAGGGGGCGAGCGUUGUUCGGAAUUACUGGGCGUAAAGCGCGCGCAGGCGGUUUUCCAAGUCAGUGGUGAAAGCCCGGAGCUCAACUCCGGAACUGCCAUUGAAACUGUUAAACUUGAGGACGAGAGAGGUGAGUGGAAUUCCCAGUGUAGAGGUGAAAUUCGUAGAUAUUGGGAAGAACACCAGUGGCGAAGGCGGCUCACUGGCUCGUAUCUGACGCUCAGGCGCGAUAGCGUGGGGAUCAAACAGG
rnacentral:rRNA from 1 species